UACAGAGGUCUCAAGCGUUGUUCGGAUUUACUGGGCGUAAAGGGCGCGUAGGCGGGCGACUAAGUCAGGGGUGAAAUCCCAAGGCUCAACCUUGGAACUGCCUUUGAUACUGGUUGUCUUGAGUCCGGGAGAGGUGAGUGGAACUGCGAGUGUAGAGGUGAAAUUCGUAGAUAUUCGCAAGAACACCAGUGGCGAAGGCGGCUCACUGGCCCGGAACUGACGCUGAGGCGCGAAAGCGUGGGAGCAAACAGG
rnacentral:rRNA from 1 species